AAGAAACUAAGGGGAGGGAAUAAGAUGAAAUGUAUAGACACUUAUAAAGAGCUGUUCGUGAACAAAUUUUGUUCCUAAACACAGAAUUGAAAUGCCAAGGCCAGUCACCACCAGCACACGGCCAAAUUAAAUGCGAAGACGUCCCCAACAGUCAGGACGUUUAUUGUAGCAUGUCAUGUGACCCGGGAUAUGACGUUGAAUUCCUUGCUGCUGAGCGUUACGUGUGUCAUGAUGACGGCACUUGGACCGCUGAACCACCGUCCGUGGGCACACAGUGGCCAAACUGUAGACAUUACGCCCGAGGAGAACCUGUACCGUGAAUAAACCAUAGCACGUGACUCGACGUAUGAUGGUCCAGCAUCAUCAAUACAACUAAACUUUAGAUGACAACUUUCAAUACGAAGAAAGAAACGCUUUAGUGAUGUAAUGUUGUAAACGAAUGAAUGGAUAACUAGUAAACACGUGAGGCAUGGGGAUAACUAACUUGAAUUGUUGAUUGUUUUCAGAAGUAUCCGAAAUAAACUAGACGAUCCGUGCUAUCAUAAAAA